rnacentral:tRNA from 1 species
GAAGGUAUAGUUCAGUGGUAGAGUGUGUGCUUAGCAUGCAUGAGGUCCUGGGUUCAAUCCUCAGUACCUCUG